rnacentral:tRNA from 1 species
GCCUUGGUGGUUCAGUGGUAGAAUUCUUGCUUCCCAAGUGGGAGACCCAUGUUCGAUUCCCAGCCAGUGCA